AGGAUGAACGCUGGCGGCGUGCUUAACACAUGCAAGUCGAACGAUGAACCUCACUUGUGGGGGGAUUAGUGGCGAACGGGUGAGUAACACGUGAGUAACCUGCCCUUAACUCUGGGAUAAGCCUGGGAAACUGGGUCUAAUACCGGAUAUGACUCCUCAUCGCAUGGUGGGGGGUGGAAAGCUUUUUGUGGUUUUGGAUGGACUCGCGGCCUAUCAGCUUGUUGGUGAGGUAAUGGCUCACCAAGGCGACGACGGGUAGCCGGCCUGAGAGGGUGACCGGCCACACUGGGACUGAGACACGGCCCAGACUCCUACGGGAGGCAGCAGUGGGGAAUAUUGCACAAUGGGCGAAAGCCUGAUGCAGCGACGCCGCGUGAGGGAUGACGGCCUUCGGGUUGUAAACCUCUUUCAGUAGGGAAGAAGCGAAAGUGACGGUACCUGCAGAAGAAGCGCCGGCUAACUACGUGCCAGCAGCCGCGGUAAUACGUAGGGCGCAAGCGUUAUCCGGAAUUAUUGGGCGUAAAGAGCUCGUAGGCGGUUUGUCGCGUCUGCCGUGAAAGUCCGGGGCUCAACUCCGGAUCUGCGGUGGGUACGGGCAGACUAGAGUGAUGUAGGGGAGACUGGAAUUCCUGGUGUAGCGGUGAAAUGCGCAGAUAUCAGGAGGAACACCGAUGGCGAAAGGCAGGUCUCUGGGCAUUAACUGACGCUGAGGAGCGAAAGCAUGGGGAGCGAACAGGAUUAGAUACCCUGGUAGUCCAUGCCGUAAACGUUGGGCACUAGGUGUGGGGGACAUUCCACGUUUUCCGCGCCGUAGCUAACGCAUUAAGUGCCCCGCCUGGGGAGUACGGCCGCAAGGCUAAAACUCAAAGGAAUUGACGGGGGCCCGCACAAGCGGCGGAGCAUGCGGAUUAAUUCGAUGCAACGCGAAGAACCUUACCAAGGCUUGACAUGGGCCGGACCGGGCUGGAAACAGUCCUUCCCCUUUGGGGCCGGUUCACAGGUGGUGCAUGGUUGUCGUCAGCUCGUGUCGUGAGAUGUUGGGUUAAGUCCCGCAACGAGCGCAACCCUCGUUCCAUGUUGCCAGCGCGUAAUGGCGGGGACUCAUGGGAGACUGCCGGGGUCAACUCGGAGGAAGGUGGGGACGACGUCAAAUCAUCAUGCCCCUUAUGUCUUGGGCUUCACGCAUGCUACAAUGGCCGGUACAAAGGGUUGCGAUACUGUGAGGUGGAGCUAAUCCCAAAAAGCCGGUCUCAGUUCGGAUUGGGGUCUGCAACUCGACCCCAUGAAGUCGGAGUCGCUAGUAAUCGCAGAUCAGCA
rnacentral:rRNA from 1 species